UAAUUUAUAUCUUGANACUGCGAACGGCUCAUUAAAUCAGUUAUAAUCUACUUGAUUGUAAAAUCUACAUGGAUAACUGUAGUAAUUCUAGAGCUAAUACAUGCAAAAAAUCCUGACUGUUAUGGAAAGGAUGUAUUUAUUAGGUACAAAAUCAAUGCUGGCACUUGUGUCAGGUUUAUUGAUGAUUCAUAAUAACUAAACGAAGCGCACGACCUUGAGUUGGCGCUGAUACAAACGAGUUUCUGCCCUAUCAACUUUCGAUGGUAGUAUAGAGGACUACCAUGGUUUCAACGGGUAACGGGGAAUAA
rnacentral:rRNA from 1 species